rnacentral:rRNA from 1 species
UACGUAGGUGGCAAGCGUUAUCCGGAAUUAUUGGGCGUAAAGCGCGCGCAGGUGGUUUCUUAAGUCUGAUGUGAAAGCCCACGGCUCAACCGUGGAGGGUCAUUGGAAACUGGGAGACUUGAGUGCAGAAGAGGAAAGUGGAAUUCCAUGUGUAGCGGUGAAAUGCGUAGAGAUUGGAAAGAACACCGAUGGCGAAGGCACUUUACUGGGCUAUUACUAACACUCAGAGACGAAAGCUAGGGUAGCAAAUGGG